UUGGCCCUGAAUCAAGGCCAGCAGUUUGCGGAAGCUGUCAAUGUUAAGCAGGAGCCUAAAGAAAUCUUUGUAUGGUCUGUUGGCCUUUUCAGAACUUUGAAAAUGAAAUAGUCGAAUGAUUCAAAAGAAACAUCU
rnacentral:snoRNA from 1 species